UAUUCCAGAAUGAGGAGGGAGAGAAAUUUGCUCUCCAUUCUUUGUACACCCUCCGCCUUCCUUUAUGUUCUGUCGCCGGUGACUGUGAGUACCGGAGUCUUCCUCUUCAUCCUCCUUUGCGACUGACGCCAGUGACCUCCUUACUUUCUUGAGCUGGCUCAUGUCUGAACUGGGGAAGAGUAAGAGAAAAUCUGUCGCCCUUUUCCUCCUCUUCAUAGCUUGCCGCUGCCGUAGGUAAAUACGGCAGCUCCGUCCAUCACUCAAAUCCAAGCUCUGGGUUCUUCAAUGUUUUACUAUGGAAGUUAGUUCGUUGUUGUAAGAGGUUCAGAUUGAGGCUGUCUCUUCUCCUUGCACCACCGCCGUUCUUCUUUUGCCUUUGUCAUUGGGUCUCUUAUUCCUCAUCUUGACUUGCUUCAACCUUGCUGUUCUGCAUGUUCGAAUAUGGAGAGAGAAGUUCAAGCAAGUUGACAUAUUAGUCUUUUGAGGACGAUGAAGAAGAAUUUAAGGACAAAGCAUUGUUCCUAGAAGAUUUGUUUGGAAGUAAGUUAUACACUUGGGAGCUCUACAGCCUGCACGGACAGCACGGCAGAAACUCAAGUGGAAAUUUGCAACUUCAAUCAUAUUACAUCACACACUCACACGCACAGAUUUAUCAAGAAGAAGGAGAAGAGAUCAGGAUGCUCACUUUAGAUGGACCAACAAUGCACAAAAGCAAGGGGAGGAAGAUGAAACUUCAGCUGAACAGGGGAGGAAGAAACCCUAGUAUGGCUGCGAUAAAGAAGGAAAGAAGAAGAGGAAGGCACCGGCAGCAACCUCUAACAGCGGCACUACGAUUCUCCUUUGGUGACCUACCUCCUCACGCAGCCAAUGGCAUCAGCACAAAAUAAGAAAACAGAACAGAGAUAGAGAAGAUGGCAGUGGGUCUAAGCAUUUUCUGCAACCAAGAAUUGAAUCAACUUCCUCAACACCAAAAUAGAAGGACCCACUGCACAACUCUGACAGAAGCAAAGAAAGAGCACCUCAUGAUGCGUAUAAACAGCGGGCUGACGAAUUGAGCGACAACCUGUGAUGGUGAGGGAUUAGCGAUGCAAAGUAGGAGAAAAGGGAGAAGAAAUCAACACACCUAUCAACACAGAUGAAAAUGGAAGAAUCCGGAGCCCCUAGAAAUGCCAGCGUUGGGCAGAAUGUGGAGAAGGAAGAAGAUGGCACUGGCAGAGUGAUUUUCAAUUGAAACUUCUGGCUGGUUUGAUGAAAAGAUCAAGUGGAAUGAAAAAAACUCAUGCUAAUAUAAUUUUAAAAUAGCGCGUAAUUUGGUAAUUUUAUAAGGAUUGAAAUAAAACAAAAUUGCUCCUCUCGUUCCAGCAAGGUUCGAACUGAGACUUGGUAAAUAAGUAGUUAGCUCAA